AAAAAAAAGAAAAAGAAAAAGCAUUGCCCUAAUCGGCCAAUUCUGGGAGUUCGACAAGAGUUAGCAGGAGAUAAUGGAAAACCCUAACCCAGAACUCCGUGAGAUUUCUUGCUUCUUAAAGAAAUAAAUGUUACAGGGAAAAGAAUCACGAACAUUAGCACCAUGGCUCGUGGCACUGGACACGUUACCAGCCUCCAUAUUCAACGAGUCGAAACGAUGAAGCUUUCUUGUGGAUGGCUUUCUUCCUCCUGGAGCUUCUGUGGAUUCUGUAUUCUCCACUACUUCAGCUUCCUCGACAUUGUUGCAAGUAUCAAACUCUGCAUCAGCCAUCCCUUGAAGCUUAUACUGCUCUAGCCUUUGGUAUGCUUGAAACUCUUUUUGUUAUCUUCCUUCCAUAUUUAUAGGCAGGCAACAAAACAGUGAGAUAUUAAGGGGAAGCGGUGAUAAAGUAUGUACAUGUAUUUAUACAUCUGUAAGCAUUUGUAUUUCAGUAACAGGACAAAUAAUGGUAUAAGCUAGUCAACAGAA